UACGUAGGGGGCAAGCGUUGUCCGGAUUUAUUGGGCGUAAAGAGCGUGUAGGCGGCCAGGUAGGUCAGCUGUGAAAACUCGAGGCUCAACCUCGAGACGUCGGUUGAAACCAUCUGGCUAGAGUCCGUAAGAGGAGAGUGGAAUUCCUGGUGUAGCGGUGAAAUGCGCAGAUAUCAGGAAGAACACCCGUGGCGAAGGCGGCUCUCUGGGACGGUACUGACGCUGAGACGCGAAAGCGUGGGGAGCGAACAGG
rnacentral:rRNA from 1 species